rnacentral:rRNA from 1 species
UCGAACGGUAGCACACCAGCAGCUAUGGUCUCGGGUGACGAGGGGCGAGACGGGUGAGUAAUGUCUGGGAAACUGCCUGAUGGAGGGGGAUAACUACUGGAAACGGUAGCUAAUACCGCAUAACGUCGCAAGACCAAAGAGGGGGACCUUCGGGCCUCUUGCCAUCAGAUGUGCCCAGAUGGGAUUAGCUAGUAGGUGGGGUAACGGCUCACCUAGGCGACGAUCCCUACCUGGUCUGAGAGGAUGACCAGCCACCCUGGAACUGAGACACGGUCCAGACUCCUACGGGAGGCACCAGAGGGGAAUAUUGCGCAAUGGGCGCAAGCCUGAUGCAGCCAUGCCGCGUGUAUGAAAAAGGCCUUCGGGUUGUAAAGAACUUUCACCGGGGAGGAAGGGGAUAAGGUUAAUAACCUUGUUCAUUGACGUUACCCGCAGAAGAAGCACCGGCUAACUCCGUGCCAGCAGCCGCGGUAAUACGGAGGGUGCAAGCGUUAAUCGGAAUUACUGGGCGUAAAGCGCACGCAGGCGGUCUGUCAAGUCGGAUGUGAAAUCCCCGGGCUCAACCUGGGAACUGCAUUCGAAACUGGCAGGCUGGAGUCUUGUAGAGGAGGGGUAGAAUUCCAAGUGUAGCGGUGAAAUGCGUAGUAGAUCUGGAGGAAUACCGGUGGUGAAGGCGGACCCCCUGGACAAAGACUGACGUCUCUGGUGCUGAAAGCUGUGGGGUAGACAAUCAGGAUUAGAUACGCAUGGA